rnacentral:rRNA from 1 species
GCUAGUAGCCACAUCACUCUGCAACUCACAACUAGCAACCCAUUAAAGCUGAGCAGGUGUGAGCCUGGUCAGUACCUGGAUGGGAGACCUCCUGGGAAAAACUAAGGUUGCUGCUGGAA